UGGCGUCGCCGCUUGGAGAUGCUGUGGCUAAGCAGGCUAAGGCUCCGGUGGCAGCGACCUUCGGCGGCGGAGGUCCCCGCGAAGAACCCCGGCCUCAGGAGAGUGGCCUCCGGUGUUUCUUCCCCGGGCAGCGCCUCGCCCAGGGCCCUAAACAUCUUCGAUCGGGAUUUGAAGAGGAAACAGAAGAACUGGGCGGCCCGGCAGCCGGAGCCGAUGAAGUUUGACUACCUGAAGGAGGAGGUUGGAAGUCGGAUAGCAGACCGUGUAUAUGAUAUAGCCAGAGACUUCCGCCUCGCUUUGGAUGUCGGUUGUGGAAGAGGUUACAUAGCACAAUAUUUGAAUAAGGAAACUGUUGCAAAGUUUUUCCAAACAGACAUUGCUGAAAAUGCUUUGAAAAAUGCCUUAGAAAUGGAAAUUCCUACUGUCAGUGUUUUAGCUGAUGAAGAAUUUCUUCCCUUCAGAGAAAAUACAUUUGAUCUGGUUGUUAGCAGUUUAAGUUUGCACUGGGUGAAUGACCUUCCUAGAGCACUUGAACAGAUUCAUUAUGUUUUAAAACCAGAUGGAGUGUUUAUUGGUGCGAUGUUUGGUGGUGACACGCUCUACGAGCUCCGGUGUUCAUUGCAGUUAGCGGAGACAGAAAGGGAAGGAGGGUUUUCUCCACACAUCUCUCCUUUCACUGCUAUCAACGACCUAGGACAUCUGCUUGGGAGAGCUGGCUUUAAUACGCUGACUGUGGAUACUGAUGAAAUUCAAGUUAACUAUCCUGGAAUGUUUGAACUGAUGGAAGAUUUACAAGAAGAAAGUCCAGAAUGUUGACCUAAUUUUACAAAACAAGUUGCGUAUCACCCAAUGAACGCAUGAAAAGUUUUGGAGGGUUUCACAGUAGUUUUAAGGUAAGUUCAGUUGUUAGUUUUUUAGACAGUACUCAGUAUUUUUCCUAGUAAACCGUAAUAGACUUUUUUUUAUAAGCAGUUGAACUUAACCUUAAAAACACUGUGAGAGUCUUAAACAGUUACCUGCUUCCCAGAUUCUUCUGUUAUCCCAAAGCCCAGAGCUGGUCAGAAGUCCCAGAUAUGUUUCCCAGGUGGUUUCCAAUACAGGUCCCCCAUGAUGUGUUAUGAAGUUUUAUCAUUCCAUUUUGAAGAUGAUAAAACUGAGUUUAAUAGAGGUUACGUGAUUUUGCCCCACGUUAUAUAAGAGCCAGAAAUGGGAUUAUGAUCUCAAAGUCUAGACUCUGUGCCGCAUCACACUGCUCCCCGAGGGAGAAGGGAGGUUCUCAUGUGAGAGGAGGGUGGGCUUCCCUAGCAGCAGAAUUACCACACUAUACAGUAGUACUCUGGGGUUUCUGUAUCAGGAAGAGCAUUGUGCCUAAUAAUCUUAAUUAGUAUAUCCUAAUACCAGCUAUUUAGAAGACAUUUUAGAAUUUCUAGUGCAUUAAGUAUUUCCAUUAAAAAAAUUAAGCCUGUUUUCCACUGGUGUUGCCUCUGUCUGAUGUGUAAGUCAGUCAUGGCACUGGGGAGUUAAGCAGAAAUGAAAGUGCCACAGCCUUCAUCAGCAAUAAACUCUUCCAGUACAAGUCCCAGGUGACCCUUGGUCUCUUGAUUCAGUUGAUGCUCAUGAUGUGGGAGAAUGUUUUUUAAAUUGGAUUAUGUAAUGGGCCUAAAAUGGUAGCGUUGGAAGUCUUUAGAGAUCAUCUAGCCUGGUCACCUUGAGGACUCAGAGCGAUGGGUCUGAGGUCAUCUAGCUACUUCAUGACCACAAGAGUAAGAUCCACCCUCUUCUUCUUGGUGAUUCAUCCACUAGUUUGUUUGUCUUUUGUUCUUCAUGAAUUGGGGCUCUUAUAUUCACAGGAUAUGGGACAUUACUUUUAAUAUCAGAGCUUCAUUACUUUAGGGAAUAAUAGGAAUCUUUUGGGAUUGGAGAGAAGAAGAAGAUUUACUUAUUCCAGCUGUUUUUAAUAAGGCCAGUGAAAACUCUGGAGAUUAUUAUUUUUAAAUUACUAAAGGGCACCAAAAUUGGGAAGUUUAUUGGUAUCUUUUGUGAAAGUAGAAAAAGCAAAACUAAGAAACUGAUUUUUGAUCAUAUAGUAUAUACAGAAUAAAUGUAAAGGAUUUUUACUUUUGAAAUUCUUUUAAUUUUGCAAACUAGUUUGAAAUGUGGCCUUUCAAAGUAAUUUCAUUUGACUGUAUGCAUUAAAAAAUAUUAAAUAUAUUAUAACAUGAAUUUUUAGUGAACAAUAGACUGAUAUAAUCCUAGCUUUUAGCUAUCAAUUUGAGGGAAAGAAAUCUAAAAAUAAAUGUUAAAACAUUAGGAAAAGUGCCCCUGAAGAGAAUGUACAUAAUCGUUUCAUAAUCUGGGAUCAGUAAAAUGUUGUAAAAUCUGAAAACACAUUGUAGUUUUGGUACCACCUAAUGAGUCUUCAAACCCUCUUCCAAGUUUCACGUUCAUACUUACAUCUGUGGCUUACUUAGAAGGAGUGAGGUGUUGUACCAAUGUCCUCUCCUCCUUCGAAGAGCAGCUAAAGGGCAUAUAAAAAUGUGGCAUCAUUAGAAAGGCCCUUGCCAACUCCUGAUGAGUCACCUGGAGGGCCAGUCGCCUUGCUUUUGCCCAGCUGGCCUACCACAGUCCACUGCUGCCAAGUAAAGCCUGCUUAUAGGGUUUGCCUCCUGAAAUUUGACUUGUCUUAAUAACCAGAAGCUUCAAGUACUUUUGCCUUAGAGUUACUAGCUAUGAAAAGGGGGAUGGAUAUACCAUUGGAUGAGAUAAGAUAAAAUCUGUGAUACUGAGCUGCUCAGGGUAUUUGCUGUAUUAUCUCAAACUGCCUGUAGUGUAUUUUUAGGGAUGGGUGAGAGCAACUGCGCUUGGAAUAGAAAAGCCCUCCUGCACCGAGACACGAUGCUGGCAGCUGCAGCAGUGUACAGAGAAAUGUAUGGAAAUGAGGAUGGUUCUGUCCCUGCCACAUAUCAGAUCUAUUACAUGAUAGGAUG